GAUUAACGCUGGCGGCGUGCAUAACACAUGCAAGUCGAACGAUGAAACUUUAAUGAACCCUUCGGGGAGAAUUAAAGCGGAUUAGUGGCGAACGGGUGAGUAACGCGUGAGUAACCUGCCUUACACAAGGGGAUAGCCUUUGGAAACGAAGAAUAAUACCCUAUAAAACCAUAAAAGCACAUGCAAUUAUGGUCAAAGUGAUAGCGGUGUAAGAUGGACUUGCGUCUGAUUAGCUAGUUGGUGAGAUAAAAGCCCACCAAGGCAACGAUCAGUAGCCGGCUUGAGAGAGUGUACGGCCACAUUGGGACUGAGACACGGCCCAGACUCCUACGGGAGGCAGCAGUGGGGGAUUUUGCACAAUGGGGGAAACCCUGAUGCAGCGACGCCGCGUGAUUUAGAAGGCCUUCGGGUUGUAAAAAUCUUUUGUAUAGGAAGAAAAUGACAGUACUAUACGAAUAAGGUCCGGCUAAUUACGUG
rnacentral:rRNA from 1 species